CGGAAGGUCACGGGGGAUCUUGUUUAGGUUGCAGAUUCUGCUCUGUAGUCUGGGGUGGGGACUGAGAUUCUGCAUUUUUAACAAGAUUCCAGGACAAUACU
rnacentral:miRNA from 1 species